CCUAUUAACUCCUAUAAGGCAUGUUUAUUUUGUUCUCUUCAUAACAUAGAAUUUUGAAACUUAGAAUUACUGUAUCUUCCUGAGUCACAUUUUCCCUCUUUAACUAAAAUGAAAACAUCAUUCUCCACAUGCCCCAGAAAAUAAUUGUUAGAAUUGCCUUUGGUUUCUGAACACUCUUACCUCAUUUAUCUAUUAAGAGGCCAGGUUUUAUAGAUUUCUUUUAGAGUUAUCUAAAAUACAAUUGUCCCUCCCAGUAUCUUCAUUUAUGAUACUAAUCCAGCUCAUAAUCACUUCAUUCAUGAUCUGUCUCCUAGUUCAUUUUAAUGUCUAAACAAAUAUUAGGAUACUAGUUACAGCUCUCUUAUCUUUCUGUAGCAACUGUUACUCCUCAAAAAUGCUAACUCUACUCUUGCUUAGAUAGUAUUUUCACUGAUAAGAGAAGAAUGUUAUAGUGAAGAGUCCUCAGUUUGACAAGAGGAUCUUCAGUGCUUCCAUUAAUAAUUCUUUAAGUAAUUUAUUUAACAUUUCUAAGACUAGACGUCUUCAACUUUAAAAUAUCAUUGGAAGAGAUAUUUAAUUCAUUCAUUCUUUUUCAAGCUUUUUAGCCCUUCAAACAUCCAUAUAUUCAAUAAAUAUUUAUUGUUUACUAAGUUCCAGGGACUCAACUAUAAGCAGGGAAUAAAAAAUGAAAAAAAAAAUGCAUCCCUUACAAGGAGUGCAAGUCUUACCUUUCAUAUUUUUGUGUUUAUAUUUCAAAGCAAGUCAAACAGAAGAUAAAUGAAUGCAAAUAUAGUAGUUCAAGAAAAGUUUAUCAACAUACAAAAUCUAAAUAUAAGUGUGAAAAUUCAGGUUUCCUUAAAUAUCCAUUAAAACUUUGUCUAAAAACUGAGUAUUUUUCUGACAUGGCAAUUUAAAAAUUUCUAUUUAUUAGAUAAAAACAAUAAACAUGUACUAAUUACGGUUUCUCUAAAUUUACUUCCAUGGAAUAGUUUUGUAAAGAAUAUUAAAGAAGAAUAAUUGGGGGUGCUUAAUUUGAAGAUUUGGCAAUGACUAGGAAAAUCCUUGUUUUAAACAACUAAGUCAUUUUGGUCCUUGUCAAUUCACACUUUAAUUAAACUGACAUCAAUGAAGGUAAUACAGCAUAAAAACAACAUUACAGUGGAUUUAAUAUUUGCUAUCGUCUAUGCUCUUUAGGUUGGGAUAAUUAAACCUGGCAUAUUUAUUAAAGGGGAAAACACAUCAAUUUAAGUUUGCUCUUUAAUGAAUUUAUUUGGUAUUAAAAUAUUUAGCAUUAAAUAUUUAAAACAGCUUAUGAAUAUAUUUUAUUCCCUCAAAUAUGCUAAUGAAUAUUUAAUACUAAACAAAUGUCCUAUUUCAUUUCUUUUUUCUCUCUCUGUGUGUAUGUUUUAUUUCAUCUUGCCAAGACCCUGUGUUAAUGUUAAAAAUUGAUUUCAAAAGAUUCAUGAUAUCUAUGUCAUAAGAAACCUUAAAGUGGACAGAUUUUUUUUUCCGUAUAGGUGAAAUAGUAAAUCCUGGCUUCAGAGACUUUAAGACUACAUGAAAGGAGGAUUUAAAAGAGGCUCUAAUGUAUUUAUAGGCCAAAGACUGGGAAAGUCAUGUCCUCAAAUGCUCUGCCUUCUUCAGUGGAAAGUUUUCUUGCUUUUAAGGAUUAAGUACUCAUGUGAAAUCCUCAUUUCCCUUUACUAGACUCAAAUUCAUGCUCUCUUAAAGUAAGAGUCUGUAAACUAUCUGGACAAAAUCUAAUGAUAUUUCACUGAAGUUCAUGAAAUAAUCUUGUUUGAACUACAUAGAGAGCUCUUUGGUAACACCAUGCUUUGGGGGACAGUUCCAGCUAAUCACAUACAUGCUUUUCAUUAAGGUGGCCCUCUGUGAUUUUAUUCAUGAUUUCUAUCUUUUCCUUUUGGCCUCCAUACUUUAGACCCAGAAGAGUUUAACACGUGAUUUGUGCUUUUAUUAUUAUUGUUUGUAUUUUGUGAGUUGCUUCUAAAAUUGCAUAUUCAUUUUUCUUGAAUAUUAUUUUUCUCUUCUUAGUUAGGAAUUGUGUUCUAUUCUUUAAAUACAGACCCUGAAAACUUUCUAAGAAUACUCAUCCUGGGUAAAUGGUAAAUCAAGGCUAAAUGUCUUUGUUUUGCUUUAUGUUUUUCUUUAACAAAGUAAAUUUUAUUCAACCUUUAUUAAUUACUCAAAUAAAAUAAAAUCAUUUUUUCUUAUUUUUGAAACUCAGUUGUUUUCUUUAAAAUAAGUUAUUACAUAUUGUAUAUAUAAAGUAUUUUUCUCACUUUAAUCAUACUUACGCUGUAUGUUAUAAGACAUUUUUGUGUAUAUGGUCCAUUCACUGGUGAUUCAUGUACAAAAGAUCACCUAUAAAAAUCUUUAACUAAACUAUAUCUAAUUUUGCACUUGGAAGAAUAUAAAGAAUACAAUGGAUAUAAAGAACACUAAUGAUUAUAAUAGUAACAACCAUAGUAAAACUAGUAGUUUUCAAGGUUUUUGGAUUUUUAAAAUUUCUGUUCAUUAUAUGCUUAAUUGUAAAGAGGCUCAAGAAUUAAUUAUGCUCUGUCUUGAGGUACAUAGUUAUCAUGACUAUUGAAUACUUGCAGUGAUAUGGACACAAAUAAUAUUGAAUAUUCUAUACUGGUAUAUUUAUUUAUAUUAUAUAUUUACUUCUUCACUUCCUCCUGUUCUGUCUUGAACCCCCUCCAAUCAUCCUGUCUUUCUCACAGUCUACUAGUACUGCUUUUGUCAAGGUCAUUCAUGGUUUCCAUGCUGAUAAAUCCAGUGUUACUGGUGGAACAGCAGUUCCUUGGUUCUUGUUCCUCUGAGGGAAAGAAUUCAGUCAGGGAGACAUAAAGCAGUUUCAAACAGCAGGAGUUUUAUUAAGCAAAGCAAGGAAAAGUAUGCUCCUGGAGAGAAGAGAAUGGCUGUCUGGCUGGAAACCAGAAGCAGCCUCACAGUGGGGGUAGGGCUGUUUUUGCAGAGUAGUGGAAGGUCCCUCCCUAUGUCCUGCAUUAUUUGAUUGACAAAGUAAUUGUUAGCCUGAGGUUAUAUAACUUUUCUCCUACUGUUCAGGUGCUUACCCAUAAGCACCCAAGUGAAACCCCCGGUGGGGAGGGAAGGGCAAAAUAGCAAUACUAAUUUAUUAUAAAUAUGGCAUAAUGAACACCGGUUAUUCUGGGUCACCUCUUGGUCUUGGUGCACCUUCACCAAUUGGUUCUGGUGGUUUGGAAAGUCCAGUUGUGGGUUUGUUUGUUUGAUUGUUUUUGCUUUUAAGUGCCGCACGUGUGGCAUAUGGAAGUUCCCAGGCUAAGGUCAAAUAGGAACUACACCACAGCCACAACAACGCAGGACCCGAGCUGGGUCCGUGAACUACACCACAACUCAUGGCAACACCAGAUCCCCGAUGCACUGAGUGAGACCAGAGAUCCAAGCCUGAAUCCUCACUGAUACUAGUCGGAUUCAUUUCUGCUGUACCACAGUGGGAACUCCCAGUUGUAUUCUUUGACCUUCUACUAACUCCACUCGAGAUGGGUGAGGACCCAUUCAUGUCUGACUAGCUACCUAACAAGUUCUCACUGUUCAUCUUACGUGAUUUAUAAGCUGUGCUGAUGUGUUGAUUGCUCCUUCACUUAUAAGAAUUUGUCCCUGGACUUCCGGAACACUUUUCUCUUGGGUUUUGUCUCUUGAUGUGGCAACUCAGUUCCCCGACCAGGGAUUGAACCUGGGCCACAGUGGUGAAAGCAGUGAAUCCUAUCCACUAGACCACCAGGGAGUUCCCUUGAGAAUGUCUUUAAAACUGUUCUUUGCUAUUUGUGUUCUCUCUUAGUGAACUCGUGCAGUCUCAGGGCUUGAAAUACCAUUUGUAUUACGAAAAUUCCAGAUAUAUCUUCAGAUCUCUCACCCUAGAUUCUAAACAAAUACACAACUGCCUACUUAUUUCCAUUUGCAUUUUAAAUAGAUAUCUCAAACUUAACAUGUCUUAAUUUUCCCCUCAAACUUUGAUUUUCCUUUUCUCUUCCUCUUUGGUGUUAAUGGCAACUCCUUUUUUCCAGUUGUAAGUAUCAGAAACCUUGGGUUCCCCCUUUGGGGGUCUUCUUCCUACAUCCCAAAUACAUUUCUUAAGAAAAUACUGAUGGGAGUUCCCUUCGUGGCACAGUGGUUAACGAAUCCGACUAGGAACCAUGAGGUUGCGGGUUCGGUCCCUGCCCUUGCUCAGUGGGUUAACGAUCCGGCGUUGCCGUGAGCUGUGGUGUAGGUUGCAGACGCGGCUCGGAUCCUGNNNNNNAAAAAAAAAAAAUUUCUAAAAAAAAAAAAAAAAGAAAAUACUGGUGGAUCAUGCGAUAUAUCUAGAAUUCAACUACUUGUGCUACCACUAAAGUCCAAGCUAUUAUUAUACCUACCUGUAUUUCCGCAGAAGCUUCCAAAUAUUUGUCCACAAAAAGUCAGUUCUCAACACAGUAGCCUCAGGGAUUUUUUUUAAUCUAGGUAAUGUCACCCCUCUGUUCAAAAUCUUCCACAGGCAGUAAUUGCCGAAGAAGAGUACAAGCCAGUGUUUUAUAAAAGCCAACAAUACCUUACAUGAUAUGGAUCAUGUUAAUGCUUUUGCUUCAAAUUCUACUGCUUUCUCUAUUUUUUUUACUCUCUUCUAGACUCAUUGGCCUCUUAACCCUUAUGGAUCACAUGAACCAGGGUCCAGCCUUAGAGUCACUGUGCUUAGUUUCUGAUAUCUGGAAUGUUCCUUUCCACAUAUCUGCAAAUUUCACUCCCUUGAUUCAAAUUGUGAAGAAACUAUUUGUCUUAAUCUGUUCAGGCUGCUAUGAAUACCAUAUACUAGGUUGUUUAUAAACCACAGAAAUUUGUUUCUCUUAGUUCAAGAUGCUGGAAGUGUCGGCAUGGUCAGGUACUGGUGAGGGUCCUCUUUUGGAUUGCACACUACCUAUAUUGUGUUGUGUCCUCACUAUUCAGAGGAGGGUGAGAGAGCUCUCUAGGGUCUCUUUCAUAGAACUCUAUUCCAUCCAUGAGGGCUUCACCCUCAGGAUCUAAUCAUCCCUACAAUCCCACCUCUUAAUACCAUCACUUGUGGGGGUGAUGGUGGUGAGGAUUUUAACACAUCGAUUUUGAGAGAACAGAGAGUUUGAAUAUAGUGACCUGUUUGGAAGCCAUUGACAUUAUUUGGGCUUAAAAUAAAGCUGACUUAAGAAAAGGCAGCAGAAUUGAAAAGAGCAGAUUGGUUUUUAGAUUCUGUGCAACACAUCGUACAUCAUUUGUUAUUUUAGUCUAUAGGAUACAGAGAGUAUGGGAAAAAUCAAAUUAGCCUUCAUGAGAGUGUGGCCAUGUUGGUUUGUGCUUGUAAUGUGUAAACCUUGUGUCUGUUAUAGGGAUUGGCCCAAGGUUCACUCUCUAAUAAACAUUUGAUAAGUAAGUGACUAUACCAAUUUUAACAUACUCUUAAGUUUUCAUAAAAUGAAAUCGGUACAAUUAAGCCAUAAAUCAUAUAGAUAUGCUCUUGUAUCAGCAUGACUCUAAACAAGAUCUCAGAAUAGUAGGUACUUAAUAGUCCUUUAUGAUCAAAGAUGAAAAUGCUUUACUAAUUUUCUUUUUUGAUUUAGUAUCAUAAGCAAUCGGGAGCCAUAGUGUUGAAGAACAUCUUAAUCGCCUAUAACACUGGAAAUUAUCAUACCCCUUAGAAUGCUUUGUUGAAAGGACUGUAAAUGUGACCCUGACAUUAUUUUCCCUAAUGAUUCUGGAAUUGAUUACCCACUCUCUCUACACAGCAGAUUCCUUCGUUUUCUAUUCACAGAGACUUUUGCACCAGCAUGUUUUUCUGCUCUAUGUUACAGGCAGGGAUGCCAGGCUGAGCUCUUGGUUUCUACCUGAAUGCUUUGAUGGAGGAAGAUAUUGGCUACACUGAUGUUAGGGCAUUUUCAGCACCUUCCAUUUUCCUUCCUUUCCUUGGUUUUAAUUAGCAUUGGUGAUUUAAAGGCUGACUACAUUUUUCAUCCAAGUUUUUCUUUCAAGUCACUGAUCAAUAACUCGUUAAUGAAGCUAGAAAAAGAGAAUGAAGUAUUCUUAAAUGUCCACUACCACUCCCUAAAGCAAACAAACAAGGCAGUUGUUGCACUGAGGAAAUCAUUUAGCUAGCUAAAUCCUGCAGCUGCCAUGAGGAAGGAUAAUUGAUUUAGUGAGAAGGGUGCUAACAUCCCUAAAUAUUAAAUUCAUUGCAUGAUAUUUAAAAGAUGGCUUUAAUGGCUAUUAAUAUUUGCAUUAUCAUUUUCAAUUUUACUUUCAUGAAAUAUUAUA
rnacentral:tRNA from 1 species